UGGACGAACAACACCUACUGCAUGCUUCAAUUCAUCCUCAGCACCCUUUAGAUUAAAAAAAACUAGUAACUUAGCAAAUAAUAAACAUAAUAAAAACUACCACUUAUUUGUUUAUUGUGUUUUGAGUGUGUUUGGGGUUUGCUUAACUAAUUAUUUGUGGCUCAAAUAAGUUGAUUUAAAUAAGCAGUAUAAAGUUGCUUAUUUCAAAAUAAGUAGUUCAAAUAAGCAAUCACAAACACCCUCUAGCUAGUAACUAGUAGAUUAUAAGCUAAGGGUUACCGUAUACACACUUGAGUGACCUAUAAAGUAGUUGCAAUACAUGGGUGGGCUUAAUGAAACUACUUUGUAUGUCGCUCAAAUGUAUUCCACACACUAUUGGUUGUUCACAAGAUUAGAGAUAUUUACCUGAAUGUCCAGCAGGAUCCACAAGAUCCUUGAUUCUUGACUGG
rnacentral:lncRNA from 1 species